ensembl:lncRNA
GACCCGUGGAAAUGAGCAGCAUCUGGCACAGGCUCUCUCCCGAAUUUCUCUCCACCCCCACCCGCGGCAGGACCCCCCCCCUCCCCGCCGGAGACUCCCCGAAAUGCCAGGUCCCCCCGGCGGGGUCACAGCCGAGAUCGCGCAAACGCUGCCGGGCAGCUGGGGGAGUCCCCCGGGCCAGCACACGUCCUUUCCCGAAGGUGACUCUGGGUGCUGUGGCAAUACUGAGCACGUGGACAGAAAUGGGGGCGUUUCCUCCCGGCCCGUGGCCGACCUCUGUGCAGACCUCCACCUUCGGCUUCCCGGCCUCGCCCACAAUGAACCCUGCCGUCAUGAGAGUCGGCUCUUUGACAUCUGUUACAAAAUGCAAACCCCGGCGGCCCGAGUCCCCAGUCUGUGGCGACCUCUGAAGCCCUGCCUUCCGGAGCCGGGCUCCUCCGUGCCCCAGGUGAGCUGCUUCUGCUGAAAACUUCCCGGCUCCGCAGCGAUCUGCUCCUGGGCAGGGAGUUCUUUUCAGAGCUGGGGCAGCUGCCUGUGUGGGACAGGAAGCCCGCCUUUGGGUGGAGACCUGGGAGAGCCACCUGGGUCAGGACUGGAGCUGCUGGCUCAGUUUCUUACUUAAGCCCUAGCAAGGAACACAAAGACGGGACCCCCCUUACUAAGUAGAAUUGACCGUUAAUGUUCCUAAUGUGCUGUUUUUCAACCCAAAUCUUCUGACCAGGAAUGAUACGACUUUCAAAAAAAGAUGCCAACAGAUCAUGAAGAACCCUGUGGCCCCAGUCACAAGUCGUUUUGCCUAAAUGGGGGGAUUUGUUAUGUGAUACCCACUAUUCCCAGCCCAUUUUGUAGGAAGUGAACUGAUGCUGGCUUAUCUUUGUCUUAUUCCAAGUUGGGGCAUGAGGUUUUCCCUGCCUUAGAAGGUUGUUGAGACGUGAAACCUGGGAAGGGAAGAAAAUGGAGUCUUCAAACUACAGUCCCCUGAAUUGACAUUGAUCCUACCAGACAAAUUUUUGAAUGAUUAUUAAAGAACUGCCAAUGGUAUCCUGAUGAAUGAAUGCCAUGAUUAUCCUAUUUUGUGGAGGAUUCUGUAAUGCAUCUAUGUACACGUUAAAAGUCCAGACUCCAACCAAAAAUCAACAUUUGGAGGAAGUGCAGUCUUGAGCUUGAAUCUUGAGAAAAGCAAACCUGAAUUUCUGCUCAUUAGCUAAGAUUUAUUAGAGAGGCUCAAUGAAAUGCUUCAGCCUCAGGAAGACACGGGACUUCUUCAGGGAUGUAUUGAGAAUUAUACAGGAGCCCGGUGUGAAGAGGUCUACCUUCCUAGCACCAAGACCCAAAGUGAGAGUGAGCCGUUUGCAGCUUUGUUGACCGUUGCCCUGCUCCUGGGAGUACUGACCCUUGGAGCUGUCUACUUCCUUUGCAGGAAAGGCCACCUCCAAAGGGCUAGCUCAGCCCAGUAUGACGUUGGCCUGGUAGAGACCAGCAGCAUCAACAUUUACAACAAACAUGGAGAAAACUGAAGAAGCACCAGCCAAGUGAACCAAGAUAUUACAUCCAAGCUGCAGGGGAAAUAAAGGAAGCCACAGAAGGGGUUUCAUCAAGGCAGAUCCUGAGCCAAUCUGCAAGUGCUUCAAAAACAAGAGCUGACUGCAUCUAGUCUUCUGCUUUUCUUCAAGUGUUUGUGACCACGUGUAUCCAUCUGUAAAAAUGACACUUCACUGCAACAUUUUAGCCAAGGACAUCUGGUGGACACCCAAACCCACAUAAAUUCAGUUUUAUCCUUCUGGAAGUUUUCUUCAGGUUUCCCGCCACCUUGCCCUCAGCAUCGGUCAUAACUUGCUUUCUGUACUGUAUCCCUUUUCAUUAUGCUGGAUGGCCUAAAUUCAGAUUUCUGAUCUUACUGCAAGUUCAAGCUGAGACUCAAGAGGAUUGGGAGGAAGGGAAGACUCCCAUCUAUUAAGAGUCACUUAGAGGGCUUGGUCUUUGGGGGAGGGGAGUAAUGGUAGAAAAUUCCCAUUUGCCUAAUAACUCAUUUCUCCAAUUCAUUGUUUCUAAAUAUUUUCUUUAGUGCAGCUCUUGGAAACAGGACAUACCUGUAGCCCCAUUUGACAGAGGGCUCAGUGUUGACUUGUCCAAGACCAUAUGCAGUUAAUGACAAAGCAAGGACUUAAAGCUCUUUUCUGAUUCCGAGUUCAGGGCUCUGACUGCUCCCUGAUAGGGCUUUGGAUGAUGGUGUUAUGGAGGUCCCGUCAACGAGGCUAUAGUGUAAUCAGGUCAUGAAAAACAAUUCAACCCAGUAGCCUUUGGGAAGAAAACCCUCAAGUGAAAAAGUAGCUGAAUGGAUGAGUCUUAAGUAACCAACAGCCCAACAGAACAGCCGGCACCGUGGGAGCCCGAGGCUUCACUCCUGCAAAAAGUAUUCAGUGAUGUCCUCGCUUUGCCUUCUUCACAUGCUCUAUCCAUGGGUACGAUGCCAUUUUGGCUUCUGAUUUCAAAAGCGACAUAGGCUUGGGCUAAACCUAAGCCCAAGGUUCCUGGAGACCUUCCAAACCCAC